AUUUUUGCAUCCUUUGAUCCAUCUUCAAGGCUUCAAAUUCUACAAUUGCACGAAUUUCUCUGAGAAAAUUAUACAGAAUAACGUAUUAGAAAAUGGAAGAAUAAUCACCAACUAUAUAUUUGAAUUAAAGAAAAAAAAUGAAGGAUUGUAGAAAGGACUUUACAAGUAGUAAAAACUGGGUUUAAUUAAGACGUUCGAUGCGGUGAAAAUAAAAAAGUGCAUUUAUACAAUCAUGCAUUUAUAAGGUAAUUAGUUAAAUUUUUAUGAUAAACAUUAAUGUGAUAACAUGGUAAAAAUCGUUUUUAGUUUUAUAUAUGAAUAAUAUAAAAAAUAGAUUUAUACAAUCUAGAUAUUUAUAAAGUAAUUACUAUAUAUAAAUUUCUACGAUAAAUGUUAAUAUCUAUAAUAGAAUAAAAAUGGUAACUAUCAUGUUAUAACUAUUGAUUUUCUAUAACAGUAGCGUUAAAAUUCUUUUAACGUUCAAUACAUAUAAAUUAUUUAGUAAAACUCAUAACCAACAUGCAAUUAUUAUAUAUAUUACUUUUUUUUUUGUAGUGAUCUACUUAGCACGUAUUAAAGUUACAUUGUUAGUGUAUAUACCUUUUAGCAACUUGGCAUUGCAGUCACUGUCACACUUCAUCUCACAAUGAGUGUAUCCAAGACCUUGAUCAAUACAUGCCUUUUCACAUUCGUUGAAGCAAUUUGUAUAUUCAGCGGUAACCUUUGCAACAGAUUCUUUAAAUUUUUCUACGUUACUUUUUUCUUGUUCAUGAGCCUUUGAAACAUGCACAGAUGAUGAUAACAUAACCAUGCACACAAGAAACACUGCAACAAGCUUCUUUGAUGAUUCCAUUUUUUAGAAUUUGUUUUGAAUUAUUUUGGCGUUUCGCUUCUCGCUUUUUUGUUGUUAUUACUUUUUUUGAUGUGCUUGUUGCUUUGUGUUUCUUUUUUGCGAC
rnacentral:lncRNA from 1 species